AUUUUUGCUUAAACUGAAAUGGAUGUACUACAGAAAAAGGGAAAAGUUUUAACUGCAAUUUUUGGUUGCUGUUUACUUUUCCAGUGGCUUUUAAGUUAGAUCAUUUCAUAACCAUAUUCUAGUUCAUUAGCAGAUUUUGAAAGAUCUUAAUACCUCAGUGAUAAUACUCCACUAGUUCCGUGGCACAAACCAAGGACAGAUACACUGUGGAAGAGCAGAGGAGUCACCGAGCCAGCAAUACAUUACCUUCUACAAUUAGGAAGCAGUUUGGUGGAACAGCACUUCAGAAUCAGCUGCAGCUGGACCUGUAGUUCAAGGGGCUGCUACAGCAGUGUCUCUGACAUGAUGUUGAGGAAGCUGCUGAUCUUGGCUUAUGGCAGAGGCACCAGUGAAGCAGCUCCUGAGACAGCAAUAUUUCAUGACUGACAGAAACAAGGAUUGCUGGAGAAGAAAAUAAGAUCAUCUUAAUUUCACAUAUAUCUAAUCCUUGUGAGGAAAAUGUCACAUUAUACAAGCAUCGUGACUUUAACACAGCCUAAUGCCAAGCUGGAAAUAUGAUGCAAGAGACUAGACUUUCUGAAGCCAAUUAUUGACCGUCUCCUUGCUAAUCAUGUCCAUGAAUGAAAAGUUAGCACAGUAAUGCAUUACAUGGUAUAAUGCUAUUUGGCAGGAAGCGUGGGCAGAGGGUAAGUCUGUUCUGUUCUUUGGGAUCUAUUGUAAGCAGGAAAGUAGAUAAGGAACUAAAGGACUACAUGGGUCAAAAAUUCUUUCUUGGCUUUUGGAGAAAAGAUGCUGGUAACAAACUCUAGAGGUUUCCAUUCUGUUAAUACUUCCAUUUGGAUCAUUUAUAUCAAGGUAGGUACUAGACAAUUUUCUUCUAAUAUGUUUAUAUUCAGCACACAUUUGUAUGCAUGCUUUACGUCUCUCAUGGUAUAUGUAAAGUAAGCUGCGCAUUGCCAUGUCUAUAGGAUUAUAAAUACCAUGAUCUCUGUUUCUUCAGGUGGCAAUGCAUCUGUUAAGAAAUGUACUGAUUACGAAGCUAUAUCCAGUUUGAACACUGAGCGGCGCUACGAUAUUAACUGUUGCAAUUCACUCAGUCUUCUCCCUUGGAAUCAGGUGACAGCUGAAUUUUCAUACUCUGACAUCAAAACUGGCCUGUGUUGCCCUUCCAUGCUCUGAAGUAGCAGGGAAUUCAAGGUCUUUCCAGUGACUUUUCAUGGUCUUAUUCUACGACCACAGACAAAAACUACAGAUGUUUCUGCAGCCUCUCAGAUCCACUCAGGUUCUGAAAACAUGAGAACGGAGAUUCGGUGCAGCCAACACGCCCAGGAACGUGAAGAAUUGGUGGCAAAAGCGCCGUGGAGCCCAGGUGAGUUGGUAUUUUCACUUAGGGACUAAAGAUUUUAACUUUUAACCACUUGAGCUGUAGUUUUGGUUGCAGUUAACUACCCAUAAUGUUUUUUUCUAAGAACUUUUGUACAGCCUCAAUGCUUAGGGNNNNNNNNNNGGGGCGGGGUGGGGGGACCGGCUGUGGAGCGGAGCCGGGGAGAGGAGGGGAGGCGGCCCCCGGGAGCGACCGGUGGCCCCGCAGCCGCGGAGAC
rnacentral:lncRNA from 1 species